AAUAAUAUGGCUGAGGUUAGGCAAUAAAUUGUAAAUUUAUUUACGGAAUAUGAUUUUCUAUUAUUA
rnacentral:tRNA from 1 species